GAUCCUGGCUCAGGAUGAACGCUAGCGGCAGGCCUAACACAUGCAAGUCGAGGGGUAGAACACUUCGGUGUUUGAGACCGGCGCACGGGUGCGUAACGCGUAUGCAAUCUACCUUGUACAGGGGAAUAGCCCAGAGAAAUUUGGAUUAAUGCCCCAUAGUAUAUAACCUUCGCAUGUUGGUUAUAUUAAAGUUCCAACGGUACAAGAUGAGCAUGCGUCCCAUUAGUUAGUUGGUAAGGUAACGGCUUACCAAG
rnacentral:rRNA from 1 species